AUAUUUGGUAUGUAAACUUCUGAAUUCAACUGUACCUGCUUUAUUUAUUUUUAAAUGUAGUUUUUUGUAUUUGAGGCAUGAAUGAUGUCUGUAUUUAUGUAUACUAAAUAAUUAACUUUGGUAAUUUCAGUGUCCGUCAAUUUUAUAAGUGAAAGCAUUUGGUUAGUCCUAACCAGACUUGUGUUUUCACCUCACCAUGAACGAAGGAGGCUUGUCCUAACCAGACUAAUUGUCAAAAUAUGGUAAUCAAUUGAAUUAGAUGUGCCGAUGCAAACAGAAUGAAUGAUGGGGGAAUUAGUGAGUUCUCACAAACUAACAUACACAUUUUACAUUCCAAGGUUAAUUACAGAGCUGAUACAUUUAGGACACACUAAAUACAUCAUAUUCCAGAUUCUGUUUUAGCCAUGAAUGUCAUUCCAGAAGACAAUCAUAUAGGUGUGUGUGUGUGUGUGUGUGUGUUGCAACUGUUUAACUCUAACCCAAGACGGGGCAAAACAAGACAUCUCUACAUACUGGAAUUUACAUGCCAAACUACCUUCAGUAUCCGGUCACCGUCCCACCCUUCCAUAUCAAAUCUAAUUGGAAAGCUCAAUAUAGUUUCCAUAAAUGAUGAUUCUGGUUUUACUUGUUACCGUUGAUACUCACCAAUCUGGAUGCCAUUUGCGCGCGAAUGCUUUCGCAUUCCGGUGUGCGCUCUAUAAAAUUGUCGUGGUGAGCGUGCAGACAUUGCAGAUCCGACAACCAAGAAAGCACAACAGCAUUGCUGCACCAGACGUUUACAAGUCAGCAUCCACAAGACGAGGCAACGGAGAAAAUCUACCAUGUCAGAAGAAAUAAUCCACACCACCUACAAGCACAUGGAAGUAUCCGGGAAGAUAGCAGCAGUCAAAAAUUCCUUAUCUCCAAACCAACUAGUCAUCAUUGUCAAGGAGAUGCAAAAUAAUGAGAAAAUCAAUCAUGAAGUGACCGUCUACCACUUGAGAAGGGAUUCGAAAUCUGUUGAAUUGGCGUUCAGUUUCAUGCAUAAUAAUCAGCGAGUUUUCUCUGUUGUCGACGGGGACGAAGUGAAGCUAGAGAGGAAACCAGACGUGCAGACAGCCAUACUAGACAAGAGAUGCCUGUUCCAGUGGUAUGAGAAGUCAGGGGAGUGGGGCCUCCUGAAAUCUGUGGCGGAACCUCAAAAGUCCCUCUGUAUCGUCGACGACAAGGUCACCGUCGGCCCGCUGGAAAAUAUGGUUAAAUUUCGGCUGACGUCAAAGUGAAUCAGUACAUUAGACAUGUUGACAGUGUCUGCAUAGAUAACCGACUUGUCUUCCGGGGUCAGAAAAAUACUUGUCUUAGUGAAUUAUCCCUUUAAAUAGGAUGAUAAGCAUCUUUGAUUAUUACAGGCCACUAUUAUAUCCAGGCUUACGUGUACUUUAGUCAAGCAAAACCUGUUGUGACAGGUACUACCCUGCUUACAGACACCUGCACACUCAACAUCAAGAUCCAGUACAUAGUUUGUCUGAGAAUUCAAUUCUAAAUACAAGUUGAAUUACUUUGUAAAAGGAAUGAUGGGAGAGAGAGAAAGAGAAAAACACUGUAUAUAGACAUAAUUACAUUUGAAAUGUCGUAAUUCUUUUGGAAAUUCAGUGUAAUUUUGUUUUUAACUUUUGUUAUUGAUUUCACUUCCUUUUGGCAACGUGAACAUAUGUUUCCCAGGGGGAGGGAGGG